AUGCACAACUCUGACGCUGUCUCCCGCGCCAAAGGGGACACGUCUUCCAAAGAAGGGUCAUCUACUGAAGCCACCAACAUGCAGACCGCGUCACGGAUGCAGGAGGAUGCUCCAUCGGUCGCCUGUACUGAACUAUGCUCUGACGUGCACCAGUUCAGAGUCUGCCAUCCCAUCUGCCUAGCAGAUGUAUAUCCAGCCAGAAGACCUUGGCUUAAAAAGAGACUUUACGUGGCUUUGGAUUCACAGAGCGAUGCCUCCCUGGCUACUCCAGAGUUCUUCCGCAUGUUUGACCUUAAAACCAAGAUGGUCGACUACACUAUGACUACGUGUGCAGGAAAAAAGAAGUUGCAGGGUCGCAUAGCAUCUGGCUUUGUUGUCUCCUCUUGCGACCAGAAGAGACAGUUCAAGUUGCCAGACCUGAUUGAGUGUUCCUCCAUCCCUCGGAACAAAAAACAAAUUGUAACUAGAGAAGUUGUGGAGGCUCAUCCACAUUUGCGACGGUUAAAGAAUGCCAUACCAGCCUUUCAGCCAGAUGUGGACAUUGCCCUUCUGCUUGGUGCGGACUGUCCGAACUUGUUCUAUGUGAACGACCAAGUUAAGGGACCUCCAGGGGCGCCCAUUGCUCAGCUGCUACCACUAGGCUGGACAGUUACAGGCCCAGUGUGCAUAAACAAGAUGCACCCACCAUCGUCGUUGGACUCCAAUCAAGCACAGGUGCUUAAAGGUGGACGUCCUACACUUGUGCGCAGUUGCCUAAGUCACAUCUCAGUCUACUGCCAAGCAAUAACUCCAGAGUAUUCCUCCAUCUUCAAAGUCUCUGAGAGAGACGAAGCCACAGCGCUCUCGAAAGAUGAGCAAAGGUUUUCGGACAUUAUGAAUGCUCAAGUCUCACGAAGUGCAGAGGUGAAAGUUUGCAAGAUGACCACGGAAAUCAAGAUGGGCCAAAGAUCUUGCCUGGAACCACACCGUUUUGAACGUUUUUCGGAGUGGCACAGUCUUCUUAGAGCAGUUGCUAGGCUUAUACAUCGCUUAGUCUGCAAAGAUAGUCAGCCUUUGCAAGUUCAGGACAUGUUGAAGGCUAAGGGAGUAAUAUUCAGGUCAGUUCAGAGGCAUGAGUUUAGUCUAGAAAUAGCCAGGUUAGAACAAGGGAUUGACACCCCCAGCCGGAGUUUCUUGCGUGAGUUAAACCCAUUUCUAGACAAGGAGGGCAUUUUAAGAGUGGGAGGGAGGUUAGCUAAGGCUAAACUCAAAGUGUGCAUAAAAAACCCCAUCAUCAUACCCCCUAAUAGUCACACUGCAUUGCUGCUCGUUCGGCAUCACCAUGAAAGGAUCCAUCAUCAGGGUAGAACUCUAACUGAGGCAGCCCUUAGAAAUGAAGGUCUGUGGGUAGUUAAUGCCAAAAGGUUGGUCAACAGUUGUAUUUUCAAAUGUGUUAAAUGCAGGCGCCUUAGGCGAAACUGUCAAAGUCAGUUAAUGGCAGAACUACCUCAGGAUAGGACUUUGACAGACCCACCCUUUUCCCAUGUGGGAAUCGAUGUGUUUGGUCCUUGGGAGGUUGUCACUAGGAAAACCAGGGGUGGUGUUGUAAAUAACAAGAGGUGGGCAGUUUUGUUUACUUGUUUAGUAAUACGAGCUGUCCAUAUAGAAGUCAUAGAAGGGAUGGACACUUCAUCAUUUUUAAAUGCAUUGAAAAGGUUCAUAGCCCUCAGAGGGCCAAUUAAGUCAAUUCGAUCGGACUGUGGCACCAAUUUUGCAUGUGCAGACCUUAGCCAACCACUUCUGGAAGAGGUGGAAGGCCGAAUACUUAAGCCAGCUUCCAACCAGAAGACUCUGGCAAACCCCAAAGGACAAUGUCAAGGUGGGAAACCUUGUGUUGCUAAAGGACAAAGACUUGCCCCGCUAUGCCCGGCCUAUGGGCAUUAUACUAAAGACCUUUCCUUGCCCUGA
ensembl:lncRNA